GACGAACGCUGGCGGCGUGCUUAACACAUGCAAGUCGAACGGAAAGGCCCUGCUUUUGUGGGGUGCUCGAGUGGCGAACGGGUGAGUAACACGUGAGUAACCUGCCCUUGACUUUGGGAUAACUUCAGGAAACUGGGGCUAAUACCGGAUAGGAGCUCCUGCUGCAUGGUGGGGGUUGGAAAGUUUCGGCGGUUGGGGAUGGACUCGCGGCUUAUCAGCUUGUUGGUGGGGUAGUGGCUUACCAAGGCUUUGACGGGUAGCCGGCCUGAGAGGGUGACCGGCCACAUUGGGACUGAGAUACGGCCCAGACUCCUACGGGAGGCAGCAGUGGGGAAUAUUGCACAAUGGGCGGAAGCCUGAUGCAGCAACGCCGCGUGCGGGAUGACGGCCUUCGGGUUGUAAACCGCUUUCGCCUGUGACGAAGCGUGAGUGCCGGUCAUGGGUAAAGAAGCACCGGCUAACUACGUGC
rnacentral:rRNA from 1 species